GACGAACGCUGGCGGCGUGCUUAACACAUGCAAGUCGAGCGGUAAGGCCCUUUCGGGGGUACACGAGCGGCGAACGGGUGAGUAACACGUGGGUGACCUGCCCUCAGCUCUGGGAUAAGCCUGGGAAGCCGGGUCUAAUACUGGAUAUGACUCCAUGACGCAUGUUGUGGGGUGGAAAGCCUUGUGCGGCUGAGGAUGGGCCCGCGGCCUAUCAGCUUGGGUGGGUGAUGGCCUACCAAGGCGACGACGGGUAGCCGGCCUGAGAGGGCGACCGGCCACACUGGGACUGAGACACGGCCCAGACUCCUACGGGAGGCAGCAGUGGGGAAUCUUGCGCAAUGGGCGAAAGCCUGACGCAGCGACGCCGCGUGAGGGAUGACGGCCU
rnacentral:rRNA from 1 species